CAGUAGUUUUGUAUGUCAGAUCAGAAAAUCCAGAUUCUGAGCAUUACUAUGAAACUAAGCUCCCACAAGCAAGAAAUGCACAAGCUCAACACAGUAAGUUGUUGGGGAUAAACGGGAAGACUCAGUUAGAACAUAUAUUUAACUAACAAAUUUAGAUAUACAAGAAUAGAAAACCUAGCAAAUCUAUUUCAUACGCCCAAUUGCUAAUCACAACUUCCCCACCCCCAAAAAAAAUAAAGAUAAAAAGAAAAAAAAAAUGAGGGGGGAAUGAAACUACAUGAAGAUACAAGGUCCCUA
rnacentral:misc_RNA from 1 species